rnacentral:rRNA from 1 species
UACGGGGGGAGCAAGCGUUGUUCGGAUUUACUGGGCGUAAAGGGCGCGUAGGCGGCCACCGCAAGUCAGUUGUGAAAGCUCUGGGCUUAACCCAGAAAGGUCAGCUGAUACUGCGGGGCUAGAGUGCAGAAGGGGCAACUGGAAUUCUCGGUGUAGCGGUGAAAUGCGUAGAUAUCAGGAGGAACACCAAUUGCGAAGGCAGCUCGCUGGGACGUAACUGACGCUGAGACGCGAAAGCUAGGGGAGCGAACGGG